UGGGGUAUAGCUCAGUGGUACAGUGCCUGCCUUGCAUGCACAAGGCCCUGGGUUCAAUCCCCAGCACAUAAA
rnacentral:tRNA from 1 species